rnacentral:lncRNA from 1 species
UAAUUUAUUGUGUGAACUUGAAAGGAGUUAUAGUACAUACAAGCUUUGUCGAUAUGAAGAUGGCAGAGAUGCAAACUUUGAACCAAAGAUAUACAAACAGUGCAGUCUUGGAAAAACUAAAUUUGUUCCCUCUUGGAUUCAGGCUACAUGUUAUCUUCAGAAUUUGAAUUAAUGGGGUCGACUACAGCAACGCCCAUGGGAGUCAUAACAGGCACCAAUUGUAAGCUUGAAGAGUCUGUCGGUAAUCAGGACCAUCUUUGCCCCGUUCUGAGUCUCUCAUCUUCUGGAGUGCAACAUUCAUGAACAAAAAAAAUAAGAAAGGAAAUUUAAGAUUUUCUGUAUGACAUAGAUGACAUGCAAGUCACACUUCCUAUUAAGUUAAUCUUAGUUCUGGCAAGAUUAAUCAUGAAUUAAAUUUAUUCUAUCAACCCUCAACAGUGGAGAAAUGUCUACUAUUCCAGAAUUUCCAAAUUGUACAAUAAGGAAGUAGCCAUGAGUAGAUCAUGCGCUAGAAUAAUCAUUGUUUCACAAAGCUAACCAGGAAAGAAAAAAAUCCACACUAAAUCUAGGAAGACCAAAGCCACGCGACAAGACCUUCCUAAUGAGAUGAAUAUACCCUCAAGAAAAUAAAUCAUAACAAAAUUUUCACGAAAUAAGUAACUUAAAAUGCUAAAAAUGAAGAUACUGCAUAAUGCCAUGCGGCUAUUAGUAGAGAUGUGAAAAUCCAUUUGAAGCAACCUCAUGUUAGUUUACUUCGUGGAAAAGAAACUCAAAACAAGUCAAGUGUGUAGGUGCAUGGCAGUUCAAGUGUAUAGGUGUCUAAUAACACCGUCAAAGGAUUAUAUAGCCAAACUAAUUCAUGAUUCAUAUAACUAAAACAAUCUAGUGUAAGCUUUCAUGUUGCGAAGAGCACAAUCAUAUAUCAUCACACCACUGAACUACACCUUGGAGCCUGGGAAACAAUGCUUCUACUGCAUUUCUUUCUUUGUCAUCCU